AGAUGGGGUUUUGUCAUGUUGGCCAGGCUGGUCUCGAACUCCUCACCUCAGGUGAUCUGCCCACCUUGGCCUCCCAAAGUGUUGGUAUUAUAGGCAUGAGCCACCACACCCGGCCUUGUUUCUAUUUUCAUUUAUUUCAAGAAAUUUAUUUCAGCCCCAGUGCUGGAGUGGUGCAGUGGCUACUGAUCCCCCGAGCAGGUACACUCCAGCAAUGACUCUAGCUUCAAG
rnacentral:lncRNA from 10 species